rnacentral:rRNA from 1 species
GACGAACGCUGGCGGCAUGCCUAAUACAUGCAAGUCGAGCGAACAGAUGGAGUGCUUGCACUUCUGACGUUAGCGGCGAACGGGUGAGUAACACGUAAGGAAUCUACCUAUAAGCGGGGGAUAACAUUCGGAAACGGGUGCUAAUACCGCAUAAUAUCUUCUUCCGCAUGGAAGAAGGUUGAAAGACGGCUCUGCUGUCACUUAUAGAUGACCUUGCGGUGCAUUAGUUAGUUGGUGGGGUAACGGCCUACCAAGACGAUGAGGCAUAGCCGACCGGGGAGGGGGGACGGACACAUUGGGACGGAAGCACGGCCCAACGUCCUACGGGAGGCAGCAGUAGGGAAUCUUCCGCAAUGGGAGAAAGCCUGACGGAGCAAUGCCGCGUGAGUGAAGAAGGCCUUCGGGUCGUAAAACUCUGUUAUAAGAGAAGAACAAAUUGUAGAGUAACUGCUACAGUCUUGACGGUAUCUUAUCAGAAAGCCACGGCUAACUACGUGCCAGCCGCCGCCGUAA